rnacentral:lncRNA from 1 species
CUAAAACAAGAAAAUAAAUAAAUAAAAUACGGUAUCCAAUCAAAACCAUUUUCGACAUGUUCUCAGUUGUAGAUAAUGUAUGGAGCAUGGAAUGGAACAUUUCAUCGCAUGCCUAUCUAAUCCCAGAUACAGAAGACAGAACAAUUAUGCCACCAAUCACAAAACUCAAGAAGCAGCAAUCAGAUGAUAAUAAAGACAUCAAAUUGUUUAGCAAGCUCAAGUCCUAAGACAUGCACAUGCCAAGUUACAGGAAGGCAUCCUUCUCGAGCAACUUUAGCACCUCUUGCUGGUUGUUGAGUUUAGCAACGUCAAUGGGCGUCUUGCCAUCCAUGUUCUGAAGUGUACUGUAGUUUAACCCAAAGAGAGAUUCCAUCAUGACACGAAAAAUCACAUGAAGCCAUAAAGGGAGGGCAUUCCUAACUGAGAGCUAUUGACUUACACUGCAGCGCCAUUUUCCAGUAAAAGGGCCACACACUCCUUCCUUCCAUAACCAGCUGCAUAAUGCAGGGCCGUGUUCUUGUUCUUAUCCAGUGCAUCAACAGUUGCCCCAGCCUCCAGAAGAAUUUGGGCACACUUCACCUGAAACAAAUUGAAACCAGCUGCUUGUUGCUUACAAUAGCGAUUUGACCAAUUUGCAUAAAUUUUCAAUAAUGUCUGACGGCCCAAUGAUUCUGGGGCCCAAACCAAGAGGUCAGCUAUAGCUCACUGACCAAUCUAACAUCUAGCCUUUUAUCAUUGUAAGCCAGCUAGGGAGUUCAAAUUUUGCAAUGUGCCAUGGACAACUACCAAGUACCAGCACAGGUAUUCAUGAACUCUUUCUACCAGCAUACCAUAAUAGGUUCCUGAAGUCACCUCUAACGAUUACUUGUCUUUUGAUAAUAACAAAAAAGCCAAGAUCAACCGCUGAAGAGGGGAGGGGCAAAAAGCAAGAGUCUACACCACACAUAAACAACAGAGCAGUAGUUCAGAAAUAAUGAUACCUCCCCAUAUCCGCAGGAAAAAUGCAAUGCAGUUCUUCCCUCUGAAUCUUCUUCAUCCUUGUCAGCACCAGAGGCUAGAGCAUUUUUCAAACCCUAAUUGGAGAGUGCAGAUAAAACUUUGAGCUAAAUUUGCAAAAGGUAUCUCCAAUUGAUCUGACUUAAAUAGAUAGAACAGGGAAGCAUUGGAUAUUCACAUGGAGGCAAAAGAAAUUUUUAUUGAACAUCAACGGAGAAAAAAAAACGAUCCACCUCCUGCAGACUUUAGAGAAAUAUUGAAUUCUCCCAAUGUAGUCAAAAUGACCAAGCUAGCGGUCAUUGGACUUCUCUAAAAUGAACUAACUAGCAUUGUGCCAUGUUCAGAUAUUUACAACAGAAAUCGAAGAACAAUGAGGACCAUAAUAUCCAACAAACUAUUCACAAGAUUAAUGGGAACAUGAAGAACGAGUGCACAUGAAAGUAUGAUAAAAAUUAUAUAUAAUACACUAAAGUCAAGGGCCACAUAAAUGCUCUACAUCUUACCAAGUAAAGCAAUGUCACUAAAAUCUAUAGAGAUGAAAGAGCAAAACACCAACAUAAAAAUGAAAAUAAAGGUAUAUAUAUUCAGUGUUCCAUUCAGCAUUCACCAUGUGGUCUCCACAUUUAAACUAAUCCAAAGAUCAAGCUAAAAGUGUCAAGGAGCUUCAACUAAUUGCUAAAUGAACAUGAACGAGUCACGUAUCUACAGCUACCAACAAAGCUCAAAAUGUCAAAAGCUGUGCAUGGGCUUAAAAGAGAGUGAUGAGAAGAGACCAUCAAAGUCUAAGAAAGUUCCAGGGGUCAUCAUUGUCUAAUAAUGCUGACAUGACAGUAAGUCUUGUGGGGGUGUUGAAAUAGAAAUCUGUGCCUAUAUCGUCUCUCAUCAUAUCAAAUUGGGCACUCCUAAGUUAAAAAUUAAGUCCACAAAACAUUAGCAAAACACUUCCAUUAACAGUAAUUAGACAAUUUUCAAUACUUUCAGCCAGUCUAGGCUGCAAACGCUUUAACUGAUAGAUAAGACGCCAUACGUUUAAUGGGAAAGAAAAGCAAAAACAAUUUAAAUGAUGUAAUUAUAAAUAAAGGUGGCAUCCAUCAGGGGAAAAAUAGAUAAAGGUUAAGUGUGUCAAAUCUGCAAACAAGGCAGCAGGCAUUCAAAAGCGAAUUGUACCCUACCUCAGCAUCACCGACACUGGCACAGUGAUGGACAACUGAUUCAUCCUCAUUUCCUGCUUCUUCUGCUUCCUCGUGUCCAGAAGUUUCCACAGAAGUGCCUGCUUCUUCGGAAACCGCAAGACCCAUUGCUUCACCCAACUUCUGGAGAACGUCUUUAUCAUUCCAGUACCUAAGCAAGCAUAAUUUAGCUGUCAGUAAGUUGAGAAAAUAAAACUAACUUAAACGAUCCAUCUUUGCUAAUAUCAAGGCAGGAGAAACAUAGCAACAAUCUUCUAGUUUUUCCCCAUUUUUAUAAGCAAGUAAUAGUAAAAUACUAGAUAUUAUGAUUACUAACCUCAUCAUGGCAGCUGGACCACCGGACUCUAUCUCUUCUAAAAUAGGCUUUAAAGAAGGAUCUUCUCUUAUUCGUGUCAUUCGCUCCUCAAUCUGAUCCUUUUGUGAUGGGUUUGUGAAAUUCUCAAGCAUUUGAGACAUUGAUGGAUCCUGAGGAUUGAUAGGGAAAAAAUUAGCCUUUCAUCAGGACUUACAAUUAAACAAUGAAUAGGAACAUGAGACAAGCCAAAAAAAAACAGAUAUACCUGCAUUAAUGCAGUGCCAAGGUGCUCAGCCAUAGUCAUAAAUUGAGGAUUCUGCAUAACCUGUUGCAUGGUUGAAUAGUAUUGUUGAGUAUCAAAGUUAGGGAUAGCAUCUUCGGCUGUCGCACCUUGAAAAGUCUUCUGGAGCUGCUCUGCCAUCUGAUUGAAUGAAGGAUCUUUGGCUAUCUGCUCGGCUAACUCCUUGAUGCUCGGGUCCUACAUAUAUCAAAGCAUAGACAUCUAUAAACCCUUAGAUAAAUAUGGAAAAAUUGUUCAAUAUUAGAGUGAAGUAAUAACAAGUUCACAAAAUGAGCUUCAAUGUGAAAAUUGGAUUUAGCUUAGGACAUGUGGGCAUAUUAGAAGGCAAGACCUUCACUGCCAAAAAGACAGCUUACCUAAUGUUUGUACUCCGCAAAUGAAAUUGAAAACAAAGCAAAGAACCGAAGAGUGAAAAUUAGUAAAAGCAAUGGAAAUUGACAAACAUACAUUAAGCAGGCCAGUCAUAGCAGAGAAAUCAAAAGGAUUAGGAGGAAAUCCAGCAGCAGCAGCACCUCCCAGUCCUGGAGAUUGAGAAGGAGCUCUUCUUUGUUCCCCAGAGGUUGAGGAGGUUUCUGCUGAUUUAGAUGAGGAGUCUUUGCUGUUAUUUUCUGCAUCCGAAGCCGAACCUGUUUUCUCAUCUAAUAACAAAGCAAUUUGCGAUUCGAGUGAGCGAGUCAGUCGAGGUUAUCUCGCAACCACAAUAACAACAGCAGCAACGGAUCCAUCCAGGAAAUUGAAAGGACGGUAGAAAGCAUACCAGAUGGAAUAGUAGCAUCCUUGUUCGUGGUCGCCAUGACGAACAACAAGCUAAGCUUAAUGAAAAUUAUGCAAUCGAAGAAAGGAGAUGAUAGAUUUUUAUCUGAAGACGAUAGACAGAAGAAGAAAUCGAAUCGAAUCGAAUAAUUACUUUUUAUACAUAAACAAUAUUACUUUGCUAAUUAUAAAACUAGAAGUAGGUAGGACUAAGAGGAUUACCAGGCAGAAGCAGGCAAGCAAGGCAGAGUGUAUAAAUUGAUGGUUUCAAGAAAGGUAUCUGCCACCACACAGCUCAAGUAAGAAGAAGAAGAAGAAGAAGAAGCGUGCACGACGACAAGGAAAGGAUUUGAUGAAUUGAAUACAAACCAAGCUUAUUGUUAGUAGGCCAUCUCAAUCCUCAUCUUGUCAUCGAACCAGUGGCUUAUGUAUCGGUUACUGCCACCGCUGUCUUCCUUUUUUGUUUCUUUUCCUUACUAGCAGGCCCGAACCCGAUGACCGGAUUCAUGAAUCGAUGGGCCGACAAUAUUUGAGAUUGGGCCUGUGUACAUUUUCUGUUUACCCUUCACAGUUGCCUUCUUUUGCCUCAAUUUGAGUGUGAGGUGAAACAAUUUGAGUCUGCAUAUAUCUUUUUAUUUUACAUCGCACUAUACUUUUUAUUUUAUUUUUCUAGAUAUUUGAUUCCCUUUUCAAAUAAUUUAAGAUUUAUUUUUUUUAUUAAUUGAGUGUUUGGAAGUAUAUUAGCUUCUAUUUUUGAAUGGUUUUAAAAGUACAUUUUACUUUAAAAAAAAUCAAAUUAAUAUUUUGUUAGUUUUUUUCGAUAGUUUUAAUGUGUUGAUAUUAAAAAUAAAAAAAAAUAAAAAUAAAAUUUAAUAUAUUUUCAAGUAAAAAAUAUUUUAAAAAAGCACUGCACAAUACCCAAAUUAACUUGCUAUAUUAAAAUGAUUUUAAGUUAAAAAUAUAUCUAAUAAAAACUGACUAAAAGCAGUUUUUGUAAAAAAAAAAAAAUAUGAUUUAAUUUAAAAUUCAUAAGUUAAAAAUUAAAAAUUAACUUUUAAUUAAAUCAUAUUUUUACCCAAAUUUGUCAUAAAUUACAUUUCUGCUAAUGGUGAAACCUAACUCUUGUUUGAUGAUCAUUUCUUAGCACAACCAAGAUAACAUUCGUAUAAAAAAAUAAUAACCAUAACCUAUUUAUUAUUCAUCAUUGAAUUUAGAUUUUAAUAUCCAUACCCAAACCAUUAUAUUUUAAAUAUCCAUUAUCCAUCCAUUUUUUUUUAAAUGACAAUUAAAAUAUAAUUUAUAAAUUUUUUAGAAUAAAUGACUUUGGUUAAUCACAUGCAAACAAAAAUGUAUUAAAAUAUAAAUGCACCAUUAAAAAUAACCUCAUGAGUUAAAUAAUAAUAUAACUAUUCUUCAAACAUAUCAUGUUAAUGACAUAAACAAAUAAAUUAUUCCAACAUGGUACUAUGAAGAUAUUAGAAUAUGUGAGAAAUUAUAUAUAAUGGCAAAAUCAUAAUUAUAAAAUAUCAGGGUUUAAGAUUUAAUGAUUAAUAUAGACCGUUUGUUUAGGAGGUUGUGUAUGCGUUUGAAGCAAAAAGCAUGAGCAACCUGUUUGGUAUUGCCAAAACACAGUUUCCUGUGUACAUGAGACUCAUGCAAAUUUUAUUUAAACCGCAGGUUUGCGGAAAGCAGCUCUCAGGUGCUUUCCGCAAACCUACGGUGUCUAGUGGAGAGUGAAACUCCACUAUUCACAUGAACAGUGGAGUCACUUUCCACUGUUCCGGCCAGACCAGGUCUGAUCCAAAACUAAAUACACCGAACCAGGUCCGAUCCAGUUAAAAAAAAAUCAAUUUUUAUUUUUAAUUGUGUUUUAUUUAAAAAAAAUUAAAAGGAGAUAUCUUGAUGACAUAGCAUUUGUAAAAUUUGAUCGCAAUCCCAAUUUUAUUCCUAAUGAUAUUUUACCUUAUGGUGUUGCGUGCUUAAAAAACCAAGGAAAGUGUAGUCCUUGUCGGAUGGAUUUCGUACGUAAUGAAAUUAUAGAUCGUUUAAUGGAACAAUAAACAAUAUUUGAUAUCAGUAUUAUUUAUUUCAUGAUGUAAUAGCAGUAGUUAAAUCUACAAUAUUUAAAUUAAAAACCAUUAAUAUAUAUAUAUAUAUAUAUAUCAAUUAUUUUAUAAUCUUAAUUUCAACCAAAGUUUUAACCAAACAUAUAUAAAUACUAAAUCAACCUCAACCAAAAGAACUUUUUGUAAAACAAUUUUUUUUCAAAUCACAACCACAAAAAGGUACAAUAAUACCAAACACACAUGAUUAGCAGUUUCAAACUUUGAAUUUUGGGUUUUGAUUUAGAGGUUUUAAGUUGAGGGUUUGAGGUCGAGGGUCAAGAAUUCAGAAUUGAGGGGGUUUAGGGUUUUAAGAUUUGGAGUUCAAGGUUCAGAUUUAGGGUUUAACUAGCUAUUUGACCAGCGCUUCGUUGCAGAUCAAAUAUUGUUUUUCAAUAAAAACAAUUGAAUACGCAGAUUGUUUCGACAUGUUUUUUUACAAAAAAAAAAAGAUUCUUUAACAUUAACUAAAAAUAAAGCUGGAAAAUAGAAAGAUAGAUGUAGAACAAGAUAUUUGAUCUAGUAACAUGGGUCAUUUAUCAGGUUGUUUCUGAUGAAUUUAUUUAUUCAAAUCAAUUUUUUUGUAUUAAAUCAAAUGAUAAUAGAAACAAACAAACACAUAAAAUUGAUAGAAUGAAAUAAAAAAAAAAUACUACACAAGGCUGCACAUAUUAGAAAUAUUAUUCAAAAAUAAGUAUUUUUUUUAUUUUAAAAAAUAAAGUUCAUCUAUAUAAAAUGUAAAAAAAAAUUAGUUAUUGAUGAAUCCUAAUAAUCUCUUAAAAAAUUAAAUACAUAAAAAAUAAUUGUUAUUUAAGAAAAUCAAAACAAACAAAACAAAAAAUGAGAGAAUGAGUAUUAAUUGAAAUGUAAAUUAUAAAAUGAUAUAUAUAUAUAUAUAAAUUAUUAAUCUUUUUUAGGGAAAAUAAAAAAUGGAAAAAAAAGAAGAAGGAAGAAGCCAAACGUUAUUGGACCUAGCAAAUCAAGCCGGUGUGCAUGGCCUAUUAGAAAAGGAUCCGCGCUUGAAGACCUUAUUUUUUAAAACAUGCUGACAGGGAAUAACAUAAUGGUUUGAAUUGUUUUCAUCUUUAGACUAGUCUUUGAUUAUAUAGAAAAAGUUGUCUUGUACAUAUUAAUUACAAAGAGCAAAUCUAGGGAGCUAUAUAUGGUAAGGUAAAUUUUCUAUUUAUAUCUAGCAUUUACAACCUAUAUUUUAAUAGGUACAAAUAGAUGUAUGCUUGAUGUCAACCUUUCUAGUGAACUGUAUGCUACUUGAUCUCAACUUUUCUAUUGACAAGUUAAGGUAUCAAGCUAGUCAUAAAAAAAUGUAGGCAGGGGAAUGAAGAUUGAAAAGCCAAUUAAGGCCAAGAUAGAAUUGUUCAUACAGAGUAUAUGUUGGCUAAAAAAGAAGUAGAGAAGGCAGCUGGGGAGAAGGAUGUGUACAAGUUAUUUUUGUAUGAGGAAUACAAAGAGUUCUAAGAUACAAAACAAAUUACAAUGUAUCAAGGAUGAGAAUGUAAAGAUCUUGGUAUCAAGAAGAUGGAGAAAUUAUUUUGACUAGUUGUUUAAUGAGAUUUAAUUUGGAAACCUUGGAGAUCUCAUCCUAAAGGAAGCAAGAAACCUUAAGCAUAUAUAUAGGAUAUGGGUUUUGAAAGUAUUCAGGCUAUGAAGAAAUUAAGAUUCAAAAAUCUUUGCAGGCUUAACAAAAUAACUAUUGAAGUUUCAAGAUUCAUAGAAGUGAAAGUCAUAUGGUUGAUAAAAAUUAAAGUUUCCACCUUAAGCAUACAUGUGGGAUUUUUGGAAGUAUUGAGGUUCUGAAGGAAUUAAGAUUCAAAAACCUUUGUAGCCUUAACAAAAUAACUAUUAAAGUUUCAAGAUGUAUAGAAGUGGAAGUAAGUGGUUGACAUGCUGUUGAAUGAAACAUUAAAGAAGGCACUAGAUGACUAGAAAAAGUGUUUUGUUAUACGAGAUAAAGGGUAAUACUCGAGUUUCGUGUUCUAUUGUGGCAUUAAGGUUAUUUAUCACUUGAUGUAGCUAUGAGGAGAGUGACGGAGCAUAUAUUUUCUGAUCAGAAAAUCAAUUUUGUUUUAUGCUUGAGAGAUCGACUAUAGAGUUAUGUUUUUUUUUUUUAGUUUAAUAGAGAGAAACAGAAAUAAAAGAAACCUUUAUAUGCCUUUAAUUGGUUUCAAGAUGGAUUUUGUGAUGUGGCAUACGACAUAGAUAGAAGCUAGGGCUCUCAAGUUCUAAGGUUACAAACCUAAGUUAUAGAGAAAUUUAGAGAAAACUCUCUAAUGUUUUAUUAAGAGUUUAAAUAAUAAUCUACACUCAAAAUAAAUUAGGCAUCCUUAUUUUUAUUAGUGCUAAAAUCCUUUAUAGAAAAUGAUUCCCAAUUAAAACUAAAUCCUUUAUAAGAAAAGAUUCAUAAUUAAAACUUACCUAACUAAUAAAUCCAUCUAACAUAAAAAAAUUUAAAUAAUAAAGUAUUGAUUAAAUUAAAAGUCCUAAUGUAAUUAGGAACAAGAAUCAAAAUACAACAAGGAAUAUAAAUACAAUCAUGUACAAUAACUUCCGAGCCCUAUUUGAAUGCUUUCUAAUAUCCAAUCAUCAUGAAAUUUUAACUUAAUAGAAACAGGGCCUUCAAAAUCUUAUGUCAAAAUUUCAGAUCGAUGCAAUGGUCAGAUUAAAAGUUAUGCUUGAUUUACCGAAUUGUGUCUUAAACACUUCUUCAACUCGUCAAAAUCUAAAAACAUUAAUCGUUAAUGAAAUAAUGCAAUAAAUAUUUUUAUAUCAAAAAUAUUGAAGAAAUUUGCCCAUGUCAGUCCCCUUUAUUUCUGAAAAACUCGCUCUCGAGUUAUCCAUUGGACUCGACCACUGUAAAUAAAUAAAUACUUUGAAUAUAACAUUGUCACUAGUAUAUGUAUAAGAUAGAUUGUUCCAAAUAUCUUAAAUUCAAUUUUAGCAAAGAUAUAUUCACGUAAAAUUUCUAAAGACCCAAAAAAUCAACCUCACAUGAAAAAUUUCUUUUGAGUUGAUGGCAAUAUUAAUUGACGUGUUUGGUCAUCCCUCACAACAAUGUCUUGACCAUCGAUUUGAUUGGUAAUCUUAGAUGAUUGGUCCAACAAGAAUACGCUUGGUUUGGACAAUACACCCAUAUGUAAAUCAUCUUUGAUAUCAACUUUAGCCUCCUGGGCAAUUCUAACAACUUGUUCUGGCUUUUCUUUUAGUGCUUCGAGACCUUGAGAAUCACUACUUCAUGAGCUUCUUUGAUUUCUUCUUCACCAUUAGUAGAUGAAACAUCAAGUAAAGUAGUAGUUGCAGCAAUGUUGUGUUAUCAUUGUUGUGAUGUUAAAACUUUCCACUAUGAAUAGUCGACACCUUCUCCAUAAUUGUUUUCCUUGCUCGUUUAGAAAGUUGAACAAAAGAUAAAUAAUAACAAUCCAAUUGCUUAUCUAUCCAAUAUAAAAUCUCUUUAUAAUCAUCUUGUAUAAAUUUCAAAAUCAAAUUAAAAGGAUACUAAUAAGAGUUCUAAAGUCUAAAAAUUCUUAUUGAUUGUUUCAAAUCUUACCAAGAUCAAAUUAAAGGAAUACUAAUAAGAGUUCUAAAGUCUAAAAAUUCAAACCACCAUGCUCUAACACCAUAAGAAAGUGUGUACGGCAAGUCUUUUUUUUUUUUUUUUAUGAUAAAGAACCUUGUUGAAAUAAAAGUAAGCUUCCAAGUCUAAAGUCUGUUAACUACUUGAUAAAUUUUUUAUUAAAAAAUCUCUCAUUACAGAAUGGGAUCUCAUCAAAUUCAGGAAUAGGUUUGGGGUUGGCCUGCCUUGAGGUAAGUUCCUACCAUCUUCACAAUCUCUAUUUGCGUUAUCUAUUAGCUAAGCUAGAUUUGAUAUGGUUUGCUCCAAAUGAUCAAUCAUAUAUUUCAAGUGAUCUAAUUUUUGCUCUCGAGUCCAUAUAAUGCCCUGAAGAGCCUUCACUCCUGCAUCGUGGAGUGGGUUACUACUAUUUUCAUCCAUUAAAGAGGUGGAGUGGGUUACUACUAUUUUCAUCCAUUAAAAAGGCUAACCUACUUUGAUAAAAAUAAACACGGCAUAUAGCAUGGAUAGAAGUUAGGGUUAUCAAGUUCUAAGGUUAUAAACCUAGACUGUUUAGAAAAAAAAAAAAUCUCUAAUAUUUUAUUAAAAGUCUGAAUAAAAAUCCUCAAUCUUAAAAUAAAUUAAACAUUCCUAUAUAUAUUAGUUCUAAUAUCCUUUAUAGAAAAUAAAUCUCAAUUAAAACUAAAAUUCUUUAAAGAAAAUGAUUUAUAAUUAAAACUUACUAAACUAAAAAAUUCUAUCAAACAUUAUGAUUUUUAAAUAGCAAAGUACUAAAGAAAAUAAAAUUUCUAAUCUAAAUAGAAAAAAAAAUCCAAACAUAACAAAGGAAAUAAAAACAGUCCAGUAACUUCCAAUCCUUGUUUGAAUGCCUUUCCAGUCUCCAAUCUCCAGGUUUUUUUAAUCUUCUAUCACAAUUUCAAAAUAAUUUUAGUUUCGUAUCAGCAGUACUACCUCAGGAACACAAAAUGAAUGUUGGGAUUUGUUGAUGUUAAAACCCAGGCAUGGGAAGCUAAAACAAGAAAAUAAAUAAAUAAAAUACGGUAUCCAAUCAAAACCAUUUUCGAGAUGUUCUCAGUUGUAGAUAAUGUAUGGAGCAUGGAAUAGAACAUUUCAUCGCAUGCCUAUCUAAUCCCAGAUACAGAAGACAGAAUAAUUAUGCCACCAAUCACAAAACUUAAGAAGCAGCAAUCAGAUGAUAAUAAAGACAUCAAAUUGUUUAGCACGCUCAAGUCCUAAGACAUGCCAGGUUACAGGAAGGCAUCCUUCUCGAGCAACUUUAGCACCUCUUGCUGGUUGUUGAGUUUAGCAACGUCAAUGGGCGUCUUGCCAUCCAUGUUCUGAAGUGUA